rnacentral:rRNA from 1 species
UACAGAGGUCCCAAGCGUUGUUCGGAUUCACUGGGCGUAAAGGGUGCGUAGGUGGCGAGGUAAGUCGGAUGUGAAAGCUCGGAGCUCAACUCCGAAAUGGCAUUGGAAACUACCUUGCUCGAGGGUUGGAGGGGGGACUGGAAUUCUCGGUGUAGCAGUGAAAUGCGUAGAUAUCGAGAGGAACACCAGUGGCGAAAGCGAGUCCCUGGACAACUCCUGACACUGAGGCACGAAAGCUAGGGGAGCAAACAGG